rnacentral:ncRNA from 1 species
AAUAUUCCCGUACUCGGUGUGACUGCGAAGGGGGGACGGAGAAGGCUAGGCUGGCCGGGCGACGGUUUGUCCCGGUUUAAGCGUGUAGGUGGGCGGUCCUGGCAAAUCCGGACGGCUGUAAACACUGAGGCGUGAUGACGAGGCACUACGGUGCUGAAGUAGCUGAUGCCCUGCUUCCAGGAAAAGCCUCUAAGCACCAGGUCACAACGAAUCGUACCCCAAACCGACACAGGUGGUCAGGUAGAGAAUACUCAGGCGCUUGAGAGAACUCGGGUGAAGGAACUAGGCAAAAUGGUGCCGUAACUUCGGGAGAAGGCACGCUGGCACUAGGUGAAGUCCCCGGCGGAUGGAGCUGAAGCCAGUCGCAGAUACCAGCUGGCUGCAACUGUUUAAUAAAAACACAGCACUGUGCAAACACGAAAGUGGACGUAUACGGUGUGACGCCUG